UACGUAGGGGGCAAGCGUUGUCCGGAUUUAUUGGGCGUAAAGCGCACGCAGGCUGUCUCUUCAGUUUCGAGUGACAGAUGGUGGCUCAACUGCCACAGGCCUUGGAAAACUGGGAGACUUGAGGACUUCAGAGGGAUGCGGAAUUCCAGGUGGAGCGGUGAAAUGCGUAGAGAUCUGGAAGAACACCAAAGGCGAAGGCAGCAUCCUGGGAAGUAACUGACGCUCAUGUGCGAAAGCUAGGGGAGCGAACGGG
rnacentral:rRNA from 1 species